rnacentral:rRNA from 1 species
UACAGAGGGGGCAAGCGUUAUUCGGAAUUAUUGGGCGUAAAGGGCGCGUAGGCGGCCUGGCAAGUGACGGGUGAAAUCCCUCGGCUUAACCGAGGAACUGCCUGUCAGACUGCUUGGCUUGAGACCGGGAGAGGUGAGUGGAAUUCCCAGUGUAGCGGUGAAAUGCGUAGAUAUUGGGAGGAACACCAGUGGCGAAGGCGGCUCACUGGACCGGUACUGACGCUGAGGCGCGAAAGCGUGGGGAGCAAACAGG